CUGAUUGGUGUGUUUACAAACCUUGAGCUAGAUAGAGUACUGAUUAGUGUAUUUACAAUCCCUUAGCUAGACAUAAAGGUUCUCCAAGUCACCACCAGACUCAGGAGCCCAGCUGGCUUCACCCAGUGGAUCCCACACCAGGGGCAGGUGGAGCUGCCUGCCAGUCCCGCCCUGUGCGCCCGCACUCCUCAGCCCUUGGGUGGUCGAUGGCACUGGGCGCCGUGGAGCAGGCGGCGGCGCUCCUUGGGGAGGCUCCUGCUGCGCAGGAGCCCACAGCAUGGGGGAGGCUCAGGCAUGGCGGGCUGCAGAUCCCAAGCCCUGCCCUGCCGGGAGGCAGCUAAGGCCGGGCGAGUAGUCGAGCACAGCAGCUGCUGGCCCAGGUGCUAAGCCCCUCACUGCCUAGGGCCAGCGGGGCCGGCUGGCUGGCCGCUCUGAAUGCAGGGCCCGCAGAGUCCACGCCCACCCGGAACUCGCGCUGGCGCGCAGCCGCGGUUCCCGCCCGCGCCUCUCCUUCCACACCUCCCGGCAAGCUGAGGGAGCCGGCUCUGGCCUCGGCCAGCCCAGGAAGGGGGCUCCACCGUGCAGCAGCGGGCUGAAGGGCUCCUCAAGUGCCGCCAAAGUGGGAGCCCAGGCAGAGGAGGAGAGCGAGCAAGGGCUGCGAGCGCUGCCAGCACGCUGUCACCUCUCAAUCCCACUCAAACUGUGUUUAAAGAGCAUCAGAGAAAAAAAGACAACCUGUAUUCGCCCUGGAAAAACUAAUGGCCACUUGAAGAUGCCAUUGAAGAUGAGGAAGAAGAAUGUCCAUCAGAGGAAACAGACAUCAUCUCCAAAGGAGACUUUCCAUUGGAGGAAAGCUUUUCCACAGAAUUUGGGCCUGAAAAUCUGAGCUGUGAAGAAGUGGAAUACUUUUGUAACAAAGGUGAUGAUGGAGGAAUCCAGGAGACAGCAGAAUCAGAUGGGGACUCACAGUCAGAAAAACCGGGGCAACCUGGAGUUGAGACAGAUGACUGGGAUGGACCAGGAGAGCUGGAGGUGUUUCAGAAAAAAGGGGAACGAAAAAUUCAGAGUCGACAGCAACUUCCAGUGGGAACAACCUGGGGGCCGUUUCCUGGGAAGAUGGACUUGAAUAAUAAUUCUUUGAAGACAAAGGCUCAGGUCCCAAUGGUGCUGACUGCUGGUCCCAAGUGGUUGCUGGAUGUGACUUGGCAAGGAGUGGAAGACAACAAAAACAACUGCAUUGUGUACAGCAAAGGGGGUCAGCUUUGGUGUACCACUACGAAGGCCAUCUCUGAGGGUGAAGAGCUAAUUGCCUUUGUGGUAGAUUUUGACUCAAGGCUACAAGCUGCCAGUCAGAUGACUGUCACAGAAGGGAUGUACCCUGCACGCCUGCUGGACUCAAUUCAGCUGCUUCCUCAGCAAGCUGCCAUGGCUUCUAUUUUGCCCACAGCUAUUGUCAAUAGUAAGUGCUCAGUGCUGUGUAGCCCAGCUUUAGAGGUGAUGGGAAUUUAUGGGAGAAAAAAGUGUCUACUGACAAGAAACCAGGAACAGACCUUUUUCCUUCA
rnacentral:sRNA from 1 species